rnacentral:rRNA from 1 species
ACGGUUGAGUAACACGUGAGAAUCUGCCCUUUAGUGAAGAAUACCCUUGGGAAACUGAGGUUAAUACUGCAUAAGUCCCCUUUUUGGGGAGAAAGAUGGCCUCUUUGCUAUCGCUAAAGGAUGAGCUUGCGGCCUAUCAGUUAGUUGGUGAGGUAAUGGCUCACCAAGACGAUGACGGGUAGCCGGCCUGAGAGGGUGAACGGCCAGACUGGAACUUAGACACGGUCCAGACUCCUACGGGAGGCAGCAGUGGGGAAUAUUGCGCAAUGGGCGAAAGCCUGACGCAGCGACGCCGCGUGGAGGAUGAAGGCCUUAGGGUUGUAAACUUCUGUUAAGUGGGAAGAAAGAAUUGUGGCUAAUAUCCACAAGAGAUGACGGUACCAUUAGAGAAAGCACCGGCUAAACUCGUGCCAGCAGCCGCGGUAAUACGAGUGGUGCAAAUGUUAUUCGGAUUUAUUGGGCGUAAAGGGUGCGUAGACGGCAUAGUAAGUCAGCUGUUAAAUUUUCCGGCCUAACCGGAAGCUUGCGGUAGAAACUACUAAGCUAGAGGAUGGAAGAGAGAAGUGGAAUUCUCGGAGUAGCGGU